AAGAAAAAUAGAACAUAAAAAGAAAAUUAUAUGUGUAAUUAAGAAACUUGAACUUGAAUAUUAUUGGAGUGUGUUCAAAUAAGAAAGUGAUCAUAAUAAAUUGUAGGCUUAAAAAUGAAAUAAAAGAAAAAAUUGCAAAAGUGCCGGUUUUUUAACGUCAGAAAUCGUAUUAUAAUAACUGAAAGCAGAAUUAUUAAAAAAUCCAAUCAAUUCUUCAUUCCCUUAUUUGUCAAACAUAAAGAAAAUCGAAAAAUCAAAUCAAUCAUUCAUUGUUUUAAUUGUCAGAUAAAAGAAAAUUUCUGAACAAAGUAAACAAAAAGUAGAAUAUUAAAAACAAAUCAUACCCAAUAUAAAAACAACCGUUAUUUUGAGAGCAAUCGAUACUUCUUUCAAACCCUGCUCCUCAACAUGCGGCCAGUGGUGGUUCAAUGAGUACACAACUUCAAAAUAUUACACCCAGAAGUGUAACUCCCAGUGGGCCAACAGCAUACGUGCCACCACCAUACUGCACACCACCACUACUGUUAGGUACUCCACCAACGGUUGUAACGUUUCAACCAGCACCAACCAAGCAUACGUCCAUAGGGGUGAAGUAAUGCCAUGCCAACAGCUUCAACCUCAUCCACACCCAUAAAUAUACCAGCUGUAGGUAUAGCAGUUAGUGGUGCAGCAUCAAAUACAGAGCACUCUACAAACAUAAAACAACGAAAACACGUAAUUCCAAUUAUUAAUCCUGACAGAACCCUGGAGAUCGUAACAUUUGAACACUUGGCUGCUGAUGUCCAAACACAGACACAAAUUCCCGCUAAAAUGAUGUAAAUGUAGAAUCACAGUUACAGUCGAUCUCUGUACAGACAGAUGAUGGAAACUAAGAUAUCGUUAAGCAGACCAGUGGUUUAGCAAUAGGAACUCAAACAGUUGCAGUAAGUUACUUUUUUCGGCGAUUGCAGAUAGCGAAUCGAAAAAGUAACUUACGAUGACCCCAAUGUUACAGAUGCCAACACUAAUGAACAUGAGUUGGACAAUGUAGACGAUGUUCUUGAUACAAUUAAUGGAUAUUUAACGUGUGUUGAUCAAGAAUUACCAGAUAACGUUUCAAAAAAUCAACAAGAGCCUGAAAAUAUUCCUGCUGGCGAUCUUAUUACAAUGCAGCCAGUAGAGUCUGAUUCUGACAUUUCCACAGAAACGUAGGUUAAAUCAAAAGAUGAACCUUGCACAAUAUCUGCCCAAACUUCCGUUGAUAAUAAAGAUGAAGUAAAAUCCAAAGAUAUUCAACAAGAUUUGCCACAGUCCGUAUCCUCUUUUGUUGCCACUGAACCAAAAAGUAUGUAUACAAUAAUAGUGGUUUCAUAUUCAUACAUAUUUUUAAUAAAUUAUAUUUUAAUCAAGAAUUACCAGAUAAUGUUUCAAAAAUUCGACAGUAGAGUCUGAUUCUGACCAUUCCACAGAAAUUAAGGUUAGGGCAAAAUAAGUGUGGAAAAAAAUUUAGUAUUUUUAUCACAACUAGUAACCCGAAGUGCUUCAAAAUCGGGUGAAAAUCUAUAAAUUUUACAUUAAAGGCCCAAAUAGACUACGCAAGCGGCUUAUCAAACAUACUUGGCCCUUAACGAGUCAUUGGAGGGAUGUUGUUCAUUUUUGGCAACUUUGAACUACAUAUAUCCUUAUUUGUAGAAGCAUUAAAAAUCUGAUAUUUCAAUGUCAAAAAUAAACCACAUUCUUUCAAUGACACGCUAAUGUAAAUUUCAUUGGUUUUUCACCAAAAUUUGAAGUAUGUACUUCGAAUGUGUUAUUUGUAGUGACUUUUGAACAUAUCUUUCCUCACUUUUAAAUGUCUUUUCAUUUGUAAGAUUAUGUUUGAUUUAUAAAAGCGAAAAAUAUGUAAUCGCAUUUUUAGAUGUGAUUAAGAUGUCGUUCGUAAAGUAUGACAUCAAUAAUUUUUUGCUGGGAACUAGUAACCCGAAGUGCUUCAAAUUCGGAUGAAAAACGGUUUAUUGCAGGGAUGUUGUUCAUUUUUGAUAACUUUGAACUACAUGUAAUCUUAUA